GACGAACGCUGGCGGCGCGCUUAACACAUGCAAGUCGAACGGAAAGGCCUGCUUUCCCUUGUGGAUUGCGGGUACUCGAGUGGCGAACGGGUGAGUAACACGUGAGUGAUCUGCCCCCAACUUGGGUAUAAGCCUGGGAAACUGGGUCUAAUUCCCGAUAGGACUGCAGGGUGGUGCCUGUGGUGGAAAACGAUUUUCUAGUGGUUGGGGAUGAGCUCGCGGCCUAUCAGCUUGUUGGUGGGGUAAUGGCCUACCAAGGCGGGGACGGGUAGCCGGCCUGAGAGGGUGGACGGCCACAUUGGGACUGAGAUACGGCCCAGACUCCUACGGGAGGCAGCAGUGGGGAAUAUUGCACAAUGGGCGGAAGCCUGAUGCAGCGACGCCGCGUGGGGGAUGACGGCCUUCGGGUUGUAAACUCCUUUCGACCGCGAGGAAGCCACCUGGUUGGAAGGGUGGUGACGGUAGUGGUAGAAGAAGCACCGGCUAACUACGUG
rnacentral:rRNA from 1 species